AUGUGUUGAUAACUGGGAUGUGCAGGUGAGUGAGCCGGUCAAGGAUCGAUUCGGACAAAGCGGUAGAUUGUAUGACAAGCGACAGUUUAUUCAGAGUGAAGAUAUCUGGUACAGCGUAUACGGGCCCGUUCAUUCAGCUCAUAAGGAACCUCCAGAAAGAAGCCCCGCUAACAGUGUGCACAUGUAUUAUAUACAGAACAGAAAGUAGGUUGAUUCUAGAAGAUCGGGUCUUCGGAUUGGUUCAGGCUGGAGUGUAGUCUUCUUGUAUUGGCUCAGUUGGACCAUCUGUCAUCAUAGAGUCUCGUCGUACCUGUCCUUGGUCACACAAUGUUCAGCUAAAAAGGAGAUUAGGUGUGUGCGUGUGUGUUCCUCUUUCUCAGGGUUGGGGUGCCUCUGCAGCUGGUGUUUGUCACGAGAUAGUGUAUCAGACUCAGCAACCCCUCAAUGGCGCUUUGUGGUUAGGCCGCUCGCUGUUAUGUAGAGAACAGGAUGUUCCAGUGUCUGUGUGUGUUGACCUUGAGUAUGUGUGAAGGAGGGUGUAAUGUGUUAUAGCAGCUCAGCUUGUGGUAAUAGGGCAAAUAAGGUAAAACUAAACUGCGUUCUAUUUAUCUUCUACAAAUCCCUCUCUUCACACCUCCGAAGAGGUGUGACAAACCACAGCAUAAUAAGCAUAGUAUAAUACAUUUGAGAAAAGUAAGUAAAACCACCCAGUUCUCCACAUACCUUGUACUAAGUUGGCUACCAGCCACCUAGGAACUUAAAACCCUUAUUAGGGAGAACCCCAACACUCUGCUGCAAAAUAGGCAUAUAAAACACACAAGGCAACUUUUUACCAACCGGGAAAAAGUUGUGAUUCCCUCUCUUCACAUCUCCAAAGAGAUGUGACAAAACCUAGUAGGCACUCUCAACCUCAUCCUCAAAUUCUGGCAGGUCAUUGUCAAGCAGAGGAAACAUCUGGGAAGGGGAGGAAGGGUCAAUAGCUCUAGAGAUAACCCUAGUGGUAAGAGAAAAUGGUGUGAAAUUUAAGUCCCCCUUUUGACACCCGCUAGGGUGUCACUCAGCAAAAGCAGGAUAACACUUUAUUGUUUAUUGAUAUGUAAGAUACAGGAUAAAACUUUGGUCAUGGAAAACAGAGUAAAGCAGAGCAAAGCAUUAUUAUAAACCAUCUGGUCCUCUCAGCUACUCCUAUCCUGCACCAGUUGGGCUUCAUGCCACCCAGGGACUCGAAACCUUCACAACAGGGAGAACAAACAUACUGGAAAGAAAACCUAUCAUAAAAAAUGUAUAACAAGGAACUGUGGUGGUGUAAGAUUUAUUCUACUACCUCACCCACAGCAUACCAUGGGUCAUCCUCAGUCAGUCUCAUCCUCCCCUGAAAGCAUGCUUCAGUAUCAGCAUCUCCAACUGGAGCAUCAAGCAAAGGCAUCAUCAUGCCUGAAGCCUUCACCACAUCUGUAACAGACUUCUUAAAACACGGUAUGAUGCAAGCAGCACAACACAUCAAUAACAAAAAUACAAGAAUUAGGGUCAGAAAUCCAGUAACCACCAUACUAGUGUACUUACCAAAACAGGCUCUCAACCAAGAGAACAGGCCAGACUCCUCCACCCCCGCCAUGGUCCUCAUCUCAGCAGAUAGUGCAUCAAGUGCAUCAAGCCCACUAAGGGCCUUAGAUAUACUACCAUCUGGACUGGUGUUAUUAGGAAUAUACGUGCAACAUUGUUCACCGAACAUCUAUUCUGUCUGGCAACCCUAGAUGUGGCCUCAAACUGUUCAGACAUACCAGUGAGUGCAUCACGGGGGUAAUUAACAAAACGCUGUUGAUCAUAGUAGAUGUAAUGAGUCCAUGCAGUCUGCCUUGCAUCCACUACGGCUGGACCUAUAAUCCAUCAUUCCUACCCAAGACCUGAAACUCAUGAGGAACCCCCACUGGCACUCCCAACAGGUUAGUGUGUAUGUCAACUACAUCCUCUGUCCAUGUAGCACUACGUCUAUGUCUCCCAUGGAAUGGAAUGUUUUCAGGUCCCCUGGAUACAGAACCCAACAGCUGUUCAGCAGUAACAUCAACAAUGGUCAGUGGAAUUAUCAAACUGGUCAGAGCACACGUACCUUGCCAGUCUCCUCUAAGAAUGGGUCUCAGCACUCUUUUGGGUCCACAGAUCCACCACACAUCAGCCAGACCACUAGUUUGGUUUAGGCCUGUAACUGGCCAAGUGGAAUUAAUGGUUAUGUUACUACUGCAAUCAGCUUCAGGCAAUCUCUCAUAAUCAAUGCCAUUACCUGUACCCGUGAUGCAACUGUAAUUGCCCCCAUAUGCCUUAACACCCCAAGGGGCCCGAUGAGGAGGUACUGUAGGAGACACAAGGCUCAAAGAGGAACAGAGAGUUGAAUUGGGCUGAACCUGGUAAAAACCUCUCAGAAUACACAACCACCCCUCUCCUUCUCCUAUAGAAAAUGGGUGUGUAGCCAGAACAGGUCUAGCAUGACCAAUGUUUCAUGUAACUCAUGCAGUCCUUUCUUUUCAGGGUCUUAGCUGUAUACCUCAUAUAAGACAGCCACAAAUUGUCCCUACCAUCAAAACCAGUCUCAGUGCCUAAUUGAUCAAUAGCUGAAUAGUCUCUAACAUUAAUUACCUGAAUGGGAUUUUUAACACAGUGGUGGCAGGUUCGGUCCAGGGGUGGUAGAGGAGUGUGUCUGGCCCUGGUUCGUCUGGGACCUCUGGUUUUGGCAGCACCUUAAUAGAAUACACACCCAUCGUGUCUGUCCCAGUCCUUUCAGAGAGCUUAAUAGUUUUGAUGGUUAGUAGGAUUUCAUCACCUUUACAAAGUUCAACAGUGCUCCCAGGUUUUCCCCAUAUCAUGGAAAACCUAUCCACCUUUGUGGGAUCCCCCAUGCUAUAAGGAUACCCUCUUCUCCAAUCCCAGAACUGUCCCAAGUCGGUUAUCAUGUAAUCCCCAUACGGACACCCUCCCAAUUUAAUACAAUUUAAUUUAUAAUUUUCGUCCACUUGUUCUGUAGACAUACAUUCAGCACUCCACGGGUCAGAACCUGGAAUCCGCUGGUACAUCACCAUCUAUUUCCAUCGAUUUCUCCAGAGUCCUGGAAAUAAGGCCUCAUACACAGGGAAUUAGACAACAGCUCCAUAAAACUAAAACAGUCACACAGGUGAAUGUAGCCCAUAAUACAGUGAUCAUAAUAUUUUCCCCAUUUUCUGAACAUAUUAUCAAACCCAAUUAAUCAGAGAAGUAUCCACCCCAGAGUUUUCUGUCAACCCGUGAGCCAGGGUGGUCAAACCAGCUGAGGCUUCGGGCACUGAUUCGUCCGGAGCUGUGUUAUUUGGGAUGUCACCCACGAUAAGACAGCUCAGACAAACAGCUUCCAUGUGAAGCCCCACCCUUUCCCCGAGAACACAUCACUCAGCAAGAGCCAGACACAUCCCCACUUCUAUGAACAAAAACAGGGGUGACAGGACAGGGAGGGUUACUUCAUUCGAGAGAUGGCCCCCGGAAUUCUGUUAAUUCCAGUUCUCCUCUCGAACACUGUUUAUUGUUCGACAGUGUAAACGUGUCUUACCCUCACGCCGUGCGAUAUGAAUCCGAGUAGCUCUUUCAGCUGGCUGUCACCAGGAGACCUUGGUAUGGUCCCCCCAACAAGCCUCUGGGACUGGAUUGAGUGACUUCACCUGUAGUUCACCUAUAAUGCAUAAAAUGCUGGACAUACAGGCUUGGUUAACAAACAGUUUCUCAUAUGUUUUAUCUGAUUAUAUCUUUACCUUCUAUGCCCAUUUGUUUAGCUACAUUUUUUUUUAAAUUAUUAGUUUCUUAUCCAAUAAGCCCCAUCCUAUCCUAGACCACAAUUUACCUAUCCCCCUUUUGAUACCUGGCUCUGCCCAGGUAACAACCUUACCUACUCUAAAUAAUGACUUAGGUAAGAUUAGUAUAUUAUCCUUCUGUUCUGACAUUAUCAUGUAGGAGCGCCCCUUUAAUUUUCCACAUGUCCAAUUCUCCCUUUUGUCUCCACUCAGUGACUGUUAUCUACACAUUCUGUUAUCUUUGCUCGUCCUGGCUCCCUUCUAAAACUUCUCCUCUCUGCUCUCCAACCUUCAAGGUCUCUGCAGUGCGGAGGAGGGCUCUUCUGUCUGCCUUUUCCCAUGUUUCCACAUUUUAACUAAAUGUCUCACUGUUUCGCUUUAUCUAAACUCAUGGAUUUAAAAAAAAUUUUUUUUUUUUUUAGAAAAACAUGUCUAUGGUGGCAAUUUCUAAAGCCUUUAUAUAGGUUAAUUAAACUCCACUAUAAUUAAGUUACCUUAAAAAAUAAAUUAAAUUCAAAAACAUUUUUUUUUUUUAUUAUUAUUUUUUUUUUUAAACAGUAUUACCCAUGACCACAGAUUCAUUAUUCAAAUGGCACCCCCUUGUGGCUGAUCAGACCACCCGAGAGAGCCAUGAAAGCAGGUCAAAGGUUACACCAUCCCCCUACAUUCCGUGUUCCAUACCAUAUUAGACAUAUUAAAGAACCCUUUAUCCUUAAAAAAUAAAAAUCACUCGUGUAAUUAAAACUCAUAAAAUAAAAAACUCAUAAAGGUUCCAUAUGUGAGCGUGCCUCUUUAAAAUAUCAUGUCUCUGGGAACAUGGAAAUCCCCUUAUUAUUAUGAUAAUCCCCUCAAACUUAAAUAAUUUGUCUCGAUGUUUCAUGUCUUAUUAUUCAUGUCUUAUUCGUGUUUCUCCAAAUUGUCUCCCCAAAAUACUUCUUAAAUACCCAGCCAUUUAGACACACACACAACUGUGAUAAAUGUGCACUGUCCCUUUAACAUAAAAACCUGCAAUCCACUCUGCGGGCCUUUCAUUGUUCCCCAUAAUGAAAACAGAUUCUAAUGUUAGUAUACCUUGACCUCCUGUUUAAUUUCAAUGAUGUUAUCUGAACAAUCAAACCAAAAUCAAUAACCGGGAAGUACUUGUAUAAAUGAAUUAAAAGAACUAAAUAAAUCUACCUUAUUUCUCAGCACUUGGUUAGAACACCACUCCCGUCUUACAUCGACCACACCCGUCGCCCCGUACCUAGUGUACCACUUAUCUAUUACUCAGUGGCUCAAUUAAUGUUUAACGUAAGUAUGUUCAGAUGUUGAUUAUGUAAUUCUACAAUAUUAGUAUAGUUCAAACCUCAUAAUAUAAA
ensembl:lncRNA